AGAGUUUGAUCAUGGCUCAGAUUGAACGCUGGCGGUAUGCUUAACACAUGCAAGUCGAACGCGAAAGUAGACUUCGGUCUGCAAGUAGAGUGGCGGACGGGUGAGUAACGCGUAGGAAUCUGCCCUAAAGCGGGGGAUAACUCGAGGAAACUCGGGCUAAUACCGCAUAAUCUCUGCGGAGAAAAGCAGGGGACUUCUUCGGAAGCCUUGUGCUUUAGGAUGAGCCUGCGUCGGAUUAGCUUGUUGGUAGGGUAAAAGCCUACCAAGGCGACGAUCCGUAGCUGGUCUGAGAGGACGACCAGCCACACUGGGACUGAGACACGGCCCAGACUCCUACGGGAGGCAGCAGUGGGGAAUCUUGGACAAUGGGCGCAAGCCUGAUCCAGCAAUACCGCGUGUGUGAAGAAGGCCUGCGGGUUGUAAAGCACUUUCAGUAGGGAGGAAAUACUCAAGAUUAAUACUCUUGAGGGUUGACGUUACCUACAGAAGAAGCACCGGCUAACUCUGUGCCAGCAGCCGCGGUAAUACAGAGGGUGCAAGCGUUAAUCGGAGUUACUGGGCGUAAAGCGUGCGUAGGUGGAUAUUCAAGUCGGAUGUGAAAGCCCCGGGCUCAACCUGGGAAUUGCAUUCGAUACUGGAUAUCUAGAGUAUGGUAGAGGAAAGUGGAAUUUCCGGUGUAGCGGUGAAAUGCGUAGAUAUCGGAAAGAACAUCAGUGGCGAAGGCGACUUUCUGGACCAAUACUGACACUGAGGUACGAAAGCGUGGGGAGCAAACAGGAUUAGAGACCCUGGUAGUCCACGCCGUAAACGAUGAGAACUAGGCGUUAGUUCCGCUAUGCGGAAUUAGUGCCGAAGCUAACGCGUUAAGUUCUCCGCCUGGGGAGUACGAUCGCAAGAUUAAAACUCAAAGGAAUUGACGGGGACCCGCACAAGCGGUGGAGCAUGUGGUUUAAUUCGAUGCAACGCGAAGAACCUUACCUACCCUUGACAUCCUCGGAAUCCUCUAGAGAUAGAGGAGUGCCUUCGGGAAUCGAGUGACAGGUGCUGCAUGGCUGUCGUCAGCUCGUGUCGUGAGAUGUUGGGUUAAGUCCCGUAACGAGCGCAACCCUUAUCCUUAGUUGCCAGCGUGUUAAGAUGGGCACUCUAAGGAGACUGCCGGUGAUAAACCGGAGGAAGGUGGGGACGACGUCAAGUCAUCAUGGCCCUUACGGGUAGGGCUACACACGUGCUACAAUGGGAAGUACAGAGGGUUGCCAAGCCGCGAGGUGGAGCUAAUCCCAGAAAACUUUUCAUAGUCCGGAUUGAAGUCUGCAACUCGACUUCAUGAAGUUGGAAUCGCUAGUAAUCGCGAAUCAGAAUGUCGCGGUGAAUACGUUCUCGGGUCUUGUACACACCGCCCGUCACACCAUGGGAGUGGAUUGUACCAGAAGCAGGUAGCUUAACCUUCGGGAGAGCGCCUACCACGGUAUGGUUCAUGACUGGGGUGAAGUCGUAACAAGGUA
rnacentral:rRNA from 1 species